rnacentral:rRNA from 1 species
GAUGAACGCUAGCGGCAGGCUUAACACAUGCAAGUCGAGGGGUAUGCCGAUUUAUCGGCAGAGACCGGCGCACGGGUGCGUAACGCGUAUGCAAUCUACCUUUCACAGAGGGAUAGCCCAGAGAAAUUUGGAUUAAUACCUCAUAGUAUAGCAAUUUCGCAUGAAACCACUAUUAAAGUUCCAACGGUGAAAGAUGAGCAUGCGUCCCAUUAGCUAGAUGGUAAGGUAACGGCUUACCAUGGCUACGAUGGGUAGGGGUCCGUGAGAGGGAGAUCCCCCACACUGGUACUGAGACACGGACCAGACUCCUACGGGAGGCGAGCAGUGAGGAAUAUUGGUCAAUGGACGC